AUUGAACGCUGGCGGCAUGCCUUACACAUGCAAGUCGAACGGUAACGGGCCUUCGGGUGCCGACGAGUGGCGAACGGGUGAGUAAUACAUCGGAACGUGCCCGAUCGUGGGGGAUAACGAGGCGAAAGCUUUGCUAAUACCGCAUACGAUCUACGGAUGAAAGCAGGGGACCGCAAGGCCUUGCGCGGACGGAGCGGCCGAUGGCAGAUUAGGUAGUUGGUGGGAUAAAAGCUUACCAAGCCGACGAUCUGUAGCUGGUCUGAGAGGAUGAUCAUCCACACUGGGACUGAGACACGGCCCAGACUCCUACGGGAGGCAGCAGUGGGGAAUUUUGGACAAUGGGCGCAAGCCUGAUCCAGCCAUGCCGCGUGCAGGAUGAAGGCCUUCGGGUUGUAAACUGCUUUUGUACGGAACGAAAAGCCUUCUUUUAAUACAGGAGGGUCAUGACGGUACCGGAAGAAUAAGCACCGGCUAACUACGUG
rnacentral:rRNA from 1 species